rnacentral:lncRNA from 1 species
CUGUGUGUCAAAAAAUUGCUGUACAUUUUAGUGAUUUUGUGGAUGAUGCAUAUACAAUUACAGCAUAUAUGAAUGCUUGGAGCAGUGACUUUAAUCCAUUACCACAUGAAGAUUAUUGGAUGCAUACACGUAUGUUCAAAUGUAUUCCUAAUCAUCAUCGUUUGAGACCCAAGCAAAAAGGUAGACCAAAGUCAACAAGACUACGAAAUGAGAUGGAUGAUAGGCAAAUAAGAAGUAAGA